GAAGGGGACAUCGAAGCAAAGACCUGAAGGCAGUGAGGAGGGUGGCCAUAAGGAUAUGUGGGAAAGAGCUUUCCAGCAGAGAAUAGUCCGGAGGCAGGAGGAGGUCCUGAAGCUGAGGGAAAGCGCAACAGAAAUGAGGUUAGGGAGUUCUCCAGACACCAGGUUGUGUGGGUCCUUGCCAUUCAUCUCUAGGACCAGUGCGGCCCUCAGACAAGGGGCCUCUCCUCUGGGUCCCAUGCUUUAGAGGGCGCUGCUCUGGCUUUCACCUGCCAAUAUCCCACCCCAAAAGCAAAGAGUUCAGGGGACCAAGGGGCAUGCUAACCCUAAAUGUAUGCUCUCUUUCUGGACAUAAUCCCAGAAUCCCUGCCCGAGGCACCCAAACCCACGCACAUGCUCAUUUCAUGUGAGUCAACAUGUUCCCUCCUCAAGGAGUAUUUAUAUUUUUGGUUUUGUAAUUGCUGAUGGUGAGUUGAAAGACUGACUUCUGCUGAGGGAAUUUUAAGCAGAGGAAGCUGGUAACUCAAUCUGUUUGGAGUCAAGGAUCACUCUACUCAAUGUAACACAAAGCUAAGAGGUAAUGCAAAGGACAGGAUCGGCAGUGAAGAAAACACGGGAUUGCCAUGUCUUCAGAAAUCGACAUCAGAAGCUCCCAUGAGGUUUGUCUUCUGAAAUUUCCUUUUCUGUUUCAAAAAUCUGAGCUUAACAAUAUUGUCAGUGGUUCUCACACUUUAGAUUCACUUAGGAUUCUUCUGGGAAACUUGUUAAAAUUCAGAUACCCAAGCUCCAUCAAAGAUGUCCCCAAUCAGAACCUCUGAAAGUCAGGCCAAGAACUUUCAUGGUAACAGAUCUCCUAGCUGAUUUUCACCCAGAUGGAUCUUGAACUGCCCUUUCACAACGAUGUGGUACAAACUGUGUACGGUUGGGCAUUAGACAAACAUGGGUUUAAAUCAUAGGUCUACCAUUAACCAGUUAGGUGACUGAGCAAUUUUCUUACCUUCUGUCCAUCUUAGUCACCUCACCUGUAAAAAUGAAGAUAAAUAAUCAUAAUUUCAGAGGUUCUGAGGGUUGCUGAAAUACCUUGUGUUGUCCACAUCGCAGAGCACAUGGUUCAUGGUAAUGAUGCUCAGUAAGCCUCUUUCCUGCUUGCAGUACAAGAGCUGCCUUCUUACCUACUUACAGAGAAACACAGAAAAUGCAUCAAGAUGGCCAGGAUGAAGUCUUCUCAUUUAGAGUGAUUGAAGAGCAGUGAUAAUAUUGGAAAUAAACCAAAAAGCCAACUGAUAUCCUCCUGUAUCAUGUUUUACCCAAAAUGAUUUUUUUUUUUCUCUUUUUAAGGAAUUACACACACACACCCCCAUACACACACACUGGCUGAUAGUAUCAAGCUGUCUUUGAUUAGCUCUGGGCAAAUGCAUGGCAGGGCAUCUGAAAACCACAACUGGAGACAUCAUUUCUGAUGGGCCUAAUGCUCUGGGUAUUUCCUUUCAACUGAACUUGGGGAAAGUACUUUGAUAUAAUGUACAUAUGGAAAUAUUUUACAACAUUCUUUAAAAGUUAGAUACUUUAUUCAGGAUAUAUGUAAAACACACUUUUCUCUUCAAC
rnacentral:lncRNA from 10 species